rnacentral:lncRNA from 1 species
CUGUAUAUUGCGUAAAUGUAAAUCCUGCAGGGUAGCCAUAACUUCUAAAAUUACUAGAAUUACUUCCUGAGACAAUAACACCAAACUUCACAUCAUUAGAGGAAGCAAUAUCAGUUACCCUCGUGAUAUCAUACGUUGCCCAUACAUACUUCGUUCCAUUGACCUUUUGCCAAUUAAACUGAGCACUACUCUGUUCAUCCACCGUCAAGGCGCCUUUGUAUUGCUCUUCAAUAAUUAUUAUGAUGUGAUGGGCAAAGUAAGAUUUGGCCAUUGGCACAACUUUGUAGCUCGUGCCAAACUGCUCAGUUGAUGGUAAAACAAUGCUGGAUGGGUCAUAAGGUCUGACAUAUUGCACCACUUGGCAGGGUUUGCUGCAUAAAACAAAGGACGAUAGUUCGUCAUGACAGGGACCAACUUCUAGAAAAUCACCACGAUUAAUCACUCUCAUCACAUUUCUGCUUCUCACCAGGGUUUUUUGAGAGGCAAACACACGAUAAAAAUCUCCGCAAGUCUUCGAUUUCAUAGCAGGAACCAAAAUGUAUUCUUUCCCCCAUUUCUCAAUGGGUAGGAGAAAAGAGACUAAAUGGUCGCAGGCACCACUGUUUCCAACGUUUUCACAUGGGCUACCAGAUAAUACAGCAACAGGGUAAUUUGAAUUGAUAAUUGUUCCGGACAAGUCAUAGUCGUGGGUGAGGUGAAAUGUUUCCAGUUUGUUAAGAGUGACGGUGAAUGUCUCUCCCACACCAUACGUUGAAUUGAGGUAACUAACCCUUCCAUUUGUCUUUAAUGUAAUGCUGACUUUCGUUCCAUCCCGCUGCGAAAUCACUCCAAAGUUUGCUGAAUUCAGAGAAAGGCCAGAACCUAAAUUCACUCUAGUAGAGGCAACGUAUGUUUUACCAAGUUCACUUGUAGGCAAAGCAAGAAACGCAUCUGAAGUACCAUGUACAUGACUUAUUCCAAUAACUGCAAUAUUGGCAGUUGAUUGUAUUUGCACACCUUUGUUUUCCACGCCUGUUCCUUGCAUUCUGAAUGAAGAUGACACUUUAAAAUUGAACACCAUUCCAGCUUUAAGGGAAAUCGAUUGAAGUGGAUUCUUAGACAUGAGCGAUGUAAUUGUAAUGCUUGCGUCACUUUGAGCAGUGAUGCUUAUUUCAUUGAACCCUCGCCGAUUGUCAACUAAAUACUGCUGCGUAAAUCCAAGUACGAAAUGUGCUCCGUAAUUAGACUCACCCACUGCU